rnacentral:rRNA from 1 species
GUCGAGAAUAAUUCACAAUGGGGGAAACCCUGAUGGUGCAACGCCGCGUGGAGGAUGAAGGUCUUCGGAUUGUAAACUCCUGUCAUCUGGGAGUAAGACCUGACGGUGAAUAGCCGGCAGGGUUGAUAGUACCAGAAGAGGAAGGGACGGCUAACUUCGUGCCAGCAGCCGCGGUAAUACGAAGGUCCCAAGCGUUGUUCGGAAUCACUGGGCGUAAAGGGAGCGUAGGCGGCGUGGUAAGUCAGAUGUGAAAUCCCGGGGCUCAACCCCGGAACUGCAUCCGAUACUGCCAUGCUUGAGGGUUGGAGAGGUAGCUGGAAUUCUCGGUGUAGCAGUGAAAUGCGUGGAUAUCGAGAGGAACACUCGUGGCGAAGGCGAGCUACUGGACAACAUCUGACGCUGAGGCUCGAAGGCCAGGGGAGCAAACAGGAUUAGAAACCCGAGUAGUCC